UACGGAGGGUGCAAGCGUUAUCCGGAUUCACUGGGUUUAAAGGGUGCGUAGGUGGGCAGGUAAGUCCGUGGUGAAAUCUCUGAGCUUAACUCAGAAACUGCCGUGGAUACUAUUUGUCUUGAAUGUUGUGGAGGUGAGCGGAAUAUGUCAUGUAGCGGUGAAAUGCUUAGAUAUGACAUAGAACACCAAUUGCGAAGGCAGCUCACUACACAAUUAUUGACGCUGAGGCACGAAAAGCGUGGGGAUCAAAACAGG
rnacentral:rRNA from 1 species